rnacentral:rRNA from 1 species
UGGAAGCGUCUGGAAAGGCGCGCGAUACAGGGUGACAGCCCCGUACACAAAAAUGCACAUGCUGUGAGCUCGAUGAGUAGGGCGGGACACGUGGUAUCCUGUCUGAAUAUGGGGGGACCAUCCUCCAAGGCUAAAUACUCCUGACUGACCGAUAGUGAACCAGUACCGUGAGGGAAAGGCGAAAAGAACCCCGGCGAGGGGAGUGAAAAAGAACCUGAAACCGUGUACGUACAAGCAGUGGGAGCACGCUUAGGCGUGUGACUGCGUACCUUUUGUAUAAUGGGUCAGCGACUUAUAUUCUGUAGCAAGGUUAACCGAAUAGGGGAGCCGAAGGGAAACCGAGUCUUAACUGGGCGUUAAGUUGCAGGGUAUAGACCCGAAACCCGGUGAUCUAGCCAUGGGCAGGUUGAAGGUUGGGUAACACUAACUGGAGGACCGAACCGACUAAUGUUGAAAAAUUAGCGGAUGACUUGUGGCUGGGGGUGAAAGGCCAAUCAAACCGGGAGAUAGCUGGUUCUCCCCGAAAGCUAUUUAGGUAGCGCCUCGUGAAUUCAUCUCCGGGGGUAGAGCACUGUUUCG